ncrna:unclassified sequences wcaG RNA
UCUGGUUUCUUGCUUUUCCAUCAAAAAGCAAGUGGUGCGGAUGGGACUCUCUCCCGCCUGGUUUCCAAUUUCCAGUUAAAGAAUUGGUGGCGAGCAACCUG